GACGAACGCUGGCGGCGUGCUUAACACAUGCAAGUCGAACGGUAAGGCCCUUCGGGGUACACGAGUGGCGAACGGGUGAGUAACACGUGGGUGAUCUGCCCUGCACUUCGGGAUAAGCCUGGGAAACUGGGCCUAAUACCGGAUAGGACCACUGCCUGCAUGGGUGGUGGUGGAAAGCUUUUGCGGUGUGGGAUGGGCCCGCGGCCUAGCAGCGUGUAGGUGGGGUGAUGGCCUACCAAGGCGACGACGGGUAGCCGGCCUGAGAGGGUGACCGGCCCCAAUGUGACUGAGAUACGGCCCAGACUCCUACGGGAGGCAGCGGUGGGGGAUGUUGCACAAUGUGCGCAAGCCUGAUGCAGCGACGCCGCGUGAGGGAUGACGGCCUUCGGGUUGUAAACCUCUUUCAGCACCGACGAAGCGCAAGUGACGGUGGGUGCAGAAGAAGGACCGUCCAACUACGUGCCAGCCGCCGCGGUAA
rnacentral:rRNA from 1 species